rnacentral:rRNA from 1 species
AACGAACGCUAGCGGCGUGCCUAACACAUGCAAGUCGAGCGAGAAAGGGCUUCGGCCUCAGUAAAGCGGCGCACGGGUGAGUAACACGUGGGUAACGUACCCUCGGGUGGGGAAUAACGGGCCGAAAGGCUCGCUAAUACCGCAUAAGACCACGACCUUUGCGAAGGUCGCGGCCAAAGGGGCGCAAGUCCCGCCUGAGGAUCGGCUCGCGGUCCAUUAGCUAGUUGGUAGGGUAAUGGCCUACCAAGGCUACGAUGGGUAGCUGGUCUGAGAGGAUGAUCAGCCACACUGGAACUGAGACACGGUCCAGACUCCUACGGGAGGCAGCAGUGGGGAAUAUUGCGCAAUGGGCGAAAGCCUGACGCAGCCACGCCGCGUGAGUGAUGAAGGCCUUCGGGUCGUAAAACUCUGUCGGGAGGGACGAAGGGGAAACGUCUGACGGUACCUCGCAAGAAGCACCGGCUAACUCUGUGCCAGCAGCCGCGGUAAU